rnacentral:lncRNA from 1 species
AAGCAAUCAUUAGUACAUAAGAACACAAUAGAAACUGCAAGAAACAUCUUCAGAAUAUAAUACAAGAAACAAUGAUUAAAUACUUCCAAUAGUGGCAAAAUUACAAAAGCAAGACCUCACAAUGAGGGAAGAAAUCCUUGUAGCAGAAUUAAAACUCUAUUAACCAAGAGAUUCAGAACUGCAUAAUUCAUGUGCCUUAAGAUUAGGGAACCUCUUAUGUGAUCACAUUAGAGGUCAUAGACAUUGAAGCAGCUCUGUCGUUCAAGUUCGAUAUUUCUUUCUUGAAAUCUUUAGCCAAGUCCCGAUUGAUAUUGGUACACUCCAUCUCACUUCCCUCUAAUUAAAAUUAUGGAAUAACACUUAUGACCGCAUCCCCGAAGACAUAUUGAAGUUUAUGGAGAUUCCCCAUGAACAUUUAAACACGUGGAGAAAUCCAUAAACACGAUUAAAAAAAAAUGAUUUCGAUUAAAAGUACGGACUUCUUUGUUCUCCCACACGCCUAAAAUCCGAUAAUAAGAACUUCAUGGAAUAUACCCUAUUUAUUGGAAAAUAAACCCAGAAAAAGCAAAUGUACCGUGAUAUCUCUGAAUCCAAAAAACCCAGAUGGUAACUGCAAACAUUAUAAUCAACAUAAGAUCCGCUAAAAAAAAUACAUACCAAGUGUGAAGAUUCUCAAUUAGAAGCUAUAUUAAGCGUGUGGCUUUCAAAGAAAAACAUGAUUAUGAAAUCACAAAUACAUAUUAAGACAUAGUUUAGCAAAUAUCCACUUAAACAUCUACAUUUCAGGUAACAAAAACAGAUUAUGUUCAAUCCCUAAAUGAAAAGCUAAUCGACUAGGUAUAACACACUUAUUCCAUAAGUGAAGGGUAAAUUCUAGAAAGAAGAAAGAGCUAAGAAGCACAUAAAUAAGGCAUAAGAAAUAUAACACCAGCCAAUCAUGUAAUCGAAUCUAUAAGAACAUAUAAAUCACCCAAAUACUAACGCUUUAAUUCAAGUUUUAUUCCUUCAUCUUUCCUUUGCAAUUAAUUACCAACGCUGUUUGAUUUAUUUUUAUUAUGAGUUCUAGCUAAAUUUCUAUAUUCCGGCAUUGAUUAGGGAAGCACUAGCGAAAUUAUUCUGUGAGAUCUAAUUGUUCUUAUACUUUAUUUUUAUGCUUGCAUCUGCGAUUCUUCAUGUUUAAUGAUAUUAAUUGUUUUAAUCCAUUAGAUAGUUGCAAAUAUUUAUUGGGUUAGAAUUAAUUAUAUAGCCAAUUGAACCGGCCAUCCGUAAUUGUGGUUUAGGUUUGAUUAGUGGUAAAUUGACACAUCAGGGUCAAGGGAAAAGCAGUCUUAAUUCAAUAAUCCUGCGUCAGAGUUUAUUGGUUUUGAAUCGGGUUUCUCUAGAUAUUAAUGCUAUCGGCUCAUUAAAUCUAUAGAGCGUCUCUUACGGUUGUCAGUCGAUUAGGGUAGUAAUUAGUGAAGCGUCUUCCUGGUUACCGAAUAAUUAAGGAGAAAUAAGAUCACGUCAGAAGCGUCUUCGGUGAUUAUAACUGGUUUGUUUGCAUGAUUUAAAGUUAUUUUUGCAUCGAUGAUCGGAAUAAUUGAGCUAGGGUGGACUUAAUUGAUUGCUGGAAUUCUUUUAUUAAUUGUUGGAAUUUUUAUUCAUCUUUUGGUUAAUUGGAAAAAUUGGUUUAUUCGGAUUUUAUUUAUUUAAUUUUAAGUUUAGUAAUUUCUAUAUNAAAAAAAAAAUUCAUGAACAUGAUUUUGCAGAAGACGCAUGAAGUAUCAAAAUAAUUGAAAAAAAAAAAAAACAAAGUUCAAUGUCAUCUUCGAUUUCAAGCGUGCGUGAAGACGACUCAACAACUAGAGUUUGAAUGUUCCAUAGGUUGGAUUCUGUCGCAGGUACAAUCUUGAAGUUGCAAGAAAGUGCUAUAUACCUCAAAUGGACCAGUUGAGUGAGAUCAGUAGAGAAACGCUUGAAAUUGAAGCUGCAAGGAUAGAUGAAAUGUGCUCUGCCGGUAAAAUAGUCUCCUCAGACGAGUAGCACAAGAACGAACAGACUUGUGUACCAUUUGGCCUCAAGGAGAUAUAGUUCAAGAUGCAGGAAUGAAUGGAAAGGCAAAGUUACCUCUCUGAGGCCGGAUUCAAAGAUGCAUACAUGCCUUGAUCAAAACGCCUUAUUUCUUGGAAGAAAUUCUCUUCUAAUGCUUCUUUUUUGCAAAACUUGAAAAGCAUGUUCAAAAGAUAGACAAUACUAAUUCAAUCCUAUUCAUACGUGUACUCUACAAACAAAUUAGAACAUAUUCACUAUUAUUUAAAAAAAAAGGAAUACAUAGUAAGAAGCAAUCAUUAGUACAUAAGAACACAAUAGAAACUGCAAGAAACAUCUUCAGAAUAUAAUACAAGAAACAAUGAUUAAAUACUUCCAAUAGUGGCAAAAUUACAAAAGCAAGACCUCACAAUGAGGGAAGAAAUCCUUGUAGCAGAAUUAAAACUCUAUUAACCAAGAGAUUCAGAACUGCAUAAUUCAUGUGCCUUAAGAUUAGGGAACCUCUUAUGUGAUCACAUUAGAGGUCAUAGACAUUGAAGCAGCUCUGUCGUUCAAGUUCGAUAUUUCUUUCUUGAAAUCUUUAGCCAAGUCCCGAUUGAUAUUGGUACACUCCAUCUCACUUCCCUCUAAUUAAAAUUAUGGAAUAACACUUAUGACCGCAUCCCCGAAGACAUAUUGAAGUUUAUGGAGAUUCCCCAUGAACAUUUAAACACGUGGAGAAAUCCAUAAACACGAUUAAAAAAAAAUGAUUUCGAUUAAAAGUACGGACUUCUUUGUUCUCCCACACGCCUAAAAUCCGAUAAUAAGAACUUCAUGGAAUAUACCCUAUUUAUUGGAAAAUAAACCCAGAAAAAGCAAAUGUACCGUGAUAUCUCUGAAUCCAAAAAACCCAGAUGGUAACUGCAAACAUUAUAAUCAACAUAAGAUCCGCUAAAAAAAAUACAUACCAAGUGUGAAGAUUCUCAAUUAGAAGCUAUAUUAAGCGUGUGGCUUUCAAAGAAAAACAUGAUUAUGAAAUCACAAAUACAUAUUAAGACAUAGUUUAGCAAAUAUCCACUUAAACAUCUACAUUUUCAGUAACAAAAACAGAUUAUGUUCAAUCCCUAAAUGAAAAGCUAAUCGACUAGGUAUAACACACUUAUUCCAUAAGUGAAGGGUAAAUUCUAGAAAGAAGAAAGAGCUAAGAAGCACAUAAAUAAGGACAUAAGAAAAAUAACACCAGCCAAUCAUGUAAUCGAAUCUAUAAGAACAUAUAAAUCACCCAAAUACUAACGCUUUAACUCAUUAUUUCUCGCAGACAACGCCAAUUGGUGUUAACUACCAACGCUCAACUUUAAUAUUUAUAAAUUAAGAAACGUAGAUGACCUAUGUGCAGUAAACUUCAUAAAAAUCCUCAAGAAUUGUUGAAAGAGAGUAUUUUUUGUGUAUUUAUG